rnacentral:rRNA from 1 species
CCUACGGGUGGCAGCAGUGAGGAAUAUUGGUCAAUGGACGAGAGUCUGAACCAGCCAAGUAGCGUGAAGGAUGACUGCCCUAUGGGUUGUAAACUUCUUUUAUAUGGGAAUAAAAUGUUCCACGUGUGGGAUUUUGUAUGUACCAUAUGAAUAAGGAUCGGCUAACUCCGUGCCAGCAGCCGCGGUAAUACGGAGGAGCCGAGCGUUAUCCGGAUUUAUUGGGUUUAAAGGGAGCGUAGGUGGAUUGUUAAGUCAUUUGUGAAAGUUUGCGGCUCAACCGUAAAAUUGCAGUUGAAACUGGCAGUCUUGAGUACAGUAGAGGUGGGCGGAAUUCGUGGUGUAGCGGUGAAAUGCUUAGAUAUCACGAAGAACUCCGAUUGCGAAGGCAGUUCACUGGACUGCAACUGACACUGAGGCUCGAAAGUGUGGGUAUCAAACAGGAUUAGAUACCCGGGUAGUC